rnacentral:rRNA from 1 species
GAUGAACGCUGGCGGCGUGCCUAAUACAUGCAAGUCGAACGGAAAGGUCCUGCUUUUGCGGGGUGCACGAGAGGCGAACGGGUGAGUAACACGCGUGUAAACUGUCCCUGACAGUGGGAUAACUUCAGGAAACUGGGGCUAAUAUAGGAUAGGAGCUCUUGCUGCAUGGGGGGGGUUGGAAAGAUUCGGUGGUUGGGGAUGGACUCGCGGCUUAUCAGCUUGUUGGUGAGGUAGGGGCUGACCAAGGCUUUGACGGGUAGCCGGCCUGGGAGGGUGACCGGCCACAUUGGGACUGAGAUACGGCCCAGACUCCUACGGGAGGCAGUAGGCGGGAAUAUUGCGCAAUGGGCGGAAGCCUGAUACAGCAACCCCGCGUGCGGAAUGCCGGCCUUCGAGUUGUGAACCACUUUCGCCUGUGACGAAGCGUGAGUGACGGUAAUUGGUAAGGAAGCACCGGCUAACUACGUG